GGAUAUGAUGACUGAUUACCUGA
rnacentral:piRNA from 1 species